rnacentral:tRNA from 1 species
GGAAUGUGGCUCAAGCGGUAGCGUGCUCGCCUGGCAUGCUUGAGGCUCUGGGUUCGAUACUCAGCACCA